GGCAUUGCUCCUGGGCCUGGCCUGCAAUCAUAGUUUGAAGGGAGUCUCUCUGGAUCUCAGCAAUUGUGAGCUUGGCCACUGUCUGAGGUCCGGAGGAGCUCAAGUGUUAGAAGGCUGUAUCGCUGAAAUCCACAACAUCACCAGCUUAGAUAUCUCUGACAACGGUUUAGAAUCUGACCUAUCUACCCUGAUUGUGUGGCUCAGUAGAAACAGAUCAAUACAGCACCUGGCGUUAGGCAAA
rnacentral:lncRNA from 1 species